GAUGAACGCUGGCGGCGUGCCUAAUACAUGCAAGUCGAGCGAACGGACGAGAAGCUUGCUUCUCUGAUGUUAGCGGCGGACGGGUGAGUAACACGUGGAUAACCUACCUAUAAGACUGGGAUAACUUCGGGAAACCGUAGCUAAUACCGGAUAAUAUUUUGAACCGCAUGGUUCAAAAGUGAAUGACGGUCUUGCUGUCACUUAUAGAUGGAUCCGCGCUGCAUUAGCUAGUUGGUAAGGUAACGGCUUACCAAGGCAACGAUGCAUAGCCGACCUGAGAGGGUGAUCGGCCACACUGGAACUGAGACACGGUCCAGACUCCUACGGGAGGCAGCAGUAGGGAAUCUUCCGCAAUGGGCGAAAGCCUGACGGAGCAACGCCGCGUGAGUGAUGAAGGUCUUCGGAUCGUAAAACUCUGUUAUUAGGGAAGAACAUAUGUGUAAGUAACUGUGCACAUCUUGACGGUACCUAAUCAGAAAGCCACGGCUAACUACGUG
rnacentral:rRNA from 1 species